UGCGGGUUAUCCCAACAAAUCGUGGCUCUUGACCCCAUUGUCUAAUCCUGUUGGUAGAGCAGAAAAACGUUACCAAGAGACACACAAAGCAUCGAGGCAAAUAAUUGAGCGUGCCUUCGGUGUACUUAAAAGCCGGUUUAGAUGUUUAGACACUUCCGGUGGUGCUCUUUUGUACUCACCGGCGAAGGUUUGCGGCAUGGUAAAUGCAUGUUGUAUUUUACACAACAUAUGUGUCGCAAACCGUUUGCCGGUGACUCUUCGUCGCAGUGCUUUCCGACGCGGGAACCGUUCUUCUGCUCUACCGGUGGGUAUGGACGAAGGAGAUGAUUCCCGACGGACAUUGAUCCAAAGCUUUUUUUCCACUGCCUAGUAUUACGUCCUGUUGACGCACCUUCCCAGGCCUGUUUUCAAAGUUUCGUCCUGUUGACGACCUGUUACCCCGUUUUUUCCUGUUGUUGGGUUGCCGCAAAUAUUGGACCCGUUUAUCCCACUCUACCAUGGGCAACCUACUUGUGAUGUGGACCUGAACCUCCGCCAUGUAGCAGACAACCCCCCUCAGGUCUUGCGGAGUAUCCUUCCAAAGUGGUGUGGAUGUGAAGAGAGACGACAAUUCCACUGAUGUACCAUGGCAUGGGUGACCUACUUGUGAUGUGGACCGGAACCUCCGCCAUGUAGCAGACAACCCCCCUCAGGUCUUGCGGAGUAUCCUUCCCAAGUGGUGUGGAUGUGAAGAGAGACGACAAUUCCACUGAUGUACCAUGGCAUGGGUGACCUACUUGUGAUGUGGACCGGAACCUCCGCCAUGUAGCUGACAACCCCCCUCAGGUCUUGCGGAGUAUCCUUCCCAAGUGGCGUGGAUGUGAAGAGACACGACAGUUCCACUGAUGUACCAUGGCAUGGGCGACCUACUUGUGAUGUGGACCGGAACCUCCGCCAUGUAGCAGACAACCCCCCUCAGGUCUUGUGGAGUAUUCUUCCCAAGUUGCUUGAAUCAUCGUGGAUGAAAAGGGACACGACAGUUCCCCUGCUGUACCAUGGGCGACCUAACACAAUACCACUGCAUCUCAUAUAUUACAUUUUAUUUACUAAUAAUUUAAAGAAAAACCACACAAAACUUCUCAUU